UUUUGUAUUUCAUCACUAUAUAGAAGGGUUUCCUAACGACGUCCCGCCUCAUUCGCUCGGCCUUGUCUCUGAAACUCUAGUGAAAGUGCUCCUGCAUCUCGGAUCACAGGAAGGUGGAGUCUUGAUUGUUUUAGGAGUGGCUUCUUUUAUUGACUUGUUUAUUCAUAUUGGGCUUCUCAGGAUGAGUGAGGAUAGAAGCAGGAGCCCUGCACCUGCUCGCCGGCUCCGAAGCGAGCGAAACACUUCCCGUGACGUGCCAUAUAGGAGAGAUCGUAUUGGAUACAGGCAGGUCUUGUGCAAGAAUUGCAAGCGUCCCGGCCAUUAUGCUAGAGAUUGCCCUAAUAUAUCUGUCUGCAACAACUGUGCACUUCCAGGGUAAAUUACUUUCUUUCUGUCAGUUUUUGAUUGAGUUGAUUCAAUAUCAAUCAUCUUUCUAAAUUAUCUGAAUUUCUUAAUAUUUUAUUUCCUAUUCUAAUUGUCUAGAAUUCGUGUAGUAUUCUUAUAGAUACCACAGCCUAUGGAUUUUUCCGAAACCUUGUUCUCAGAUCCUUAUUUUUAAGAAUGUUUUUAGUAAUUUAAUACGAUAACUAACGAGGGAAGUGCUUACUAUCUUUUCUUUUGGGGUGAUGUGAAUCAUUCCAUAUCCUCUACAUUCUAACCUUUGGUAUCCGUGUAUUUGAGCAUUUCUUUUUGUGCUUUUGCAUUUUGUCUGUUCAAGCAUAUCAUGAAACUCAAGUUGAUCCCUGGCUAUGCUAAUUUGUUGUCUUUAUUUAAAAUUUUGAAAAUCAUGUUCCCUCAGUUGGGUUUUUUUUUUGUCCUUGACAUUUAUACAAAAGGACCCACAAUGAGUGAUUAGGAUUAAUGCAUAAAGUAUUCACAAUGAGAUUAAAAUCACUUGAAGACACAAAGAUUUACAUGAUUCGACUAACACAAUAGCCUUCACCUGCUGAAGGGGAGUUGUUCUAACAAACAAUCAAUAUCAUCACAAAAUAGAAACUCCAAAUCUCUCAAACCAAACUUAAGAGUCACGCAAGAGUUGAUAGAAGCACAAAAUUUUUAGUAUUACAGAAAAUUCUCCACUUGAAUGUUCUGCAAAAAGGUAGCUUCACACAUGUAUAUGGAGCCAUUAUGUUAUUUUCGAUACCACCAUACAUGCAACUUCUUAAAUAGUUCUACAGAAUUCUUUUUCUUUUUAUUCUUUCUAUUUUUUCCCUCGUCAAUUUACCUCUCUUUUCUCUAAAUAACAUGGCAUCUCUUUUUCUUUAGCGUCCUACAAGUAUAAACAUGAAUUCCACUUCUUUACAAGGAGCCCAUAAGCAGAAAUGUCAUUUCGGUUUUUUGCAUAAGACUUGGCUCCUCUUUGCAUGCAGAACUUAUCUUACUGCUUUGCAUAUUUAUAGGGAUCGUACGAGAGUGCUGUAAAAUUUAAAUAGGGUUUAAAUUUUGACUUGUAGAUAUCUAUUUGAAAAUUGAUCAAAAUGAAAGGAAAUUUUUUUAUUUUCCUAAACUAUCUAUUUUGAAUUUUGUUUUUAUCUUAGAGAACUUAACUAUUUAAUUUAAUAUCCGAACAUUCUCCUCCUUUGCUUAAUAAUAUGUCAAAAUGAUUUUGGGUAUUCUAUGUGAGUCCUCCCAAAACUUAGCUCUGGAAAUCCUGAAGAGUUGAGCGCAAACUCAGCAAGCCUAGAUGGCUCGCUUGAACUUAGGAGGGACUAGCUUAGAUAAAAAAAAGGCAAAGAGGAAUUCAAUCACCUGUAGAGAAGAUGCAAGAAAAUACUCUUCGUCAUACGCCAGUAAAUAGUUAUUCUCACCAGAAAAGAGAAGUCCAAAAUAAAGAGAGAAUACCAUAUGAAAUAUUAUAAAUAAAUAAUGAUGAAGUAAUUGCUUAAAAUUAUCCAUUUAAAAGUUUCUUUAUAGGGUAUCUUCCCAUGUGUUUGGAAUCAUCACAAAAUUUGUGGCAACACUGUAAUCCAUGGUCAAACAAUAUCCUAUUUUUAAAUAUGGUAUUAUGAUAGGAGUUGUACUAGAAAUGGUAUAGGUGUGAUUAUAAAUUAGAGUUUAAAUAUGAUGUUAUAAAAAUUAAUAGAUUUAGAGAUAUAAUUAUAGCUUUAAAGAAUAUUAUUGAUGUUAAGACUAUUAAUAUUAUAAGUGUUUUUGCUGCUCAAGUAAGUUUGAUGUUAAGAUUAUCAAUAUUAUAAGUGUUUAUGUGUUCAAAAUUAAAAUUUUGGAAUUGCUCAAAAGAACUAAUAUAUAAGAUACCUGUUGAAGAAAGGUUUGUGGCUCCAAAAAUUCGUGCCCCAGCCUCUCUGCAAACCCCUUUCUUUUUCUUUUCGAGUCAUCAAGGAGAGUUUUAACAUUUAAGUUCCAAGGAAAAUUUUCAGAAAAUAGAUUGAGUUCUAAAUAAGACACUACUCAAAGAUUUCGUCCUCAUUUUACGAGAACUUUAUGAUCUGAGUUUAGGUUUCAUAUAGGCAUAAGCCCUUAUAGUUAAUUACACCUCCCGAUGGUUAGACAGAAAUUUCGAUUAAGGCUAGUCAUUGAAAUUGAUACAUCAUAUAUUGUGUAAGUAGCAGCAUGGGUUUAGAUAUUUGAGAAUUUGAUAUUUAAAAUAAAAAAAUUUCAGCAUCUUUUAGUUAAAGCAGAUGGUGGGUGGGAAUGAUGAUGAGCCCGAUCAAGAUCCCGUGGUUUCGUCGUCCUAGGUCAUCAUGGUCCAUAGUCUAUUUAGUCAGAGGAGGUAGUUAACCCAACCUGAUAAAAGGAUCCUUAUCAAUAACCAUGUGUUGCUUCAUCCAAGGGUACUUUGUAGACCUUGGGUGAAUAUUUGUCUAAAAUGAUAAAUUUGAAUCCACCUUAGCUAACAGAGUGCUUUGUACCCUAUCGAUUAUAUCCUAUUGAUUUAUAUAUCAAGGAUUUGAAGUCAUUAGGGAACAUACGAGCUCUAAUCAUGACCGUAAUUUAUUGGUGCUAUUUGACGAUGAAACCACCUGGUUCAGAAGGUCCCGGUCAUAAUCGUUUACCCGUGGUGCCAUUUGGCAACGAAAUCACUGGUUAGAGAACACAUGUCAUGUCCUUACUGACAAGAGACUGUUUGAAAAUGAAUUUUAGUGAUAUUUUCGACCAGACAUUGGCUCGUUGUGAGCUAAAAUAAUUUUCACAUCUGUUCAUCUUGAUAAACUGUUGCGGAUAGUGGAUGUGUAUUUUUGCUUUGAGUGUUUGAUGAUUAAUUUAAAUUUUAAAUAUUUUAAAUUUUUGGUGAUUUUGGACUUUCAUAGACAUUUUGGAGGCAUUUAAAAUGUUUGUGGUCCUAUCCGGUUGAGAUUUACAUUCAACACGGCCAUCAUCAGGGUAUAUUUAUUGGCAACUUCAUUUCAUUGAUUAGACCUUAUCAACUUUAUACCUAUUGACAGAGAAUCGGGUUCAUUGUAGGUUUUGUGGCUUUAUAAAUGAAUUUUACUUAUUGUAGGCUUUGAAGGCUUAAUAUGAACAUAUAAAACAAAUAUCCCGGUUGACACUGCGACCAUAUAUUUGUUUAACUGUUCGAGCAAUGUCAACUCCUAUUUAUCCACAUAGAAGGAUCGGGUUCGGACUUGAGUUAAUUUCUUGACCAGCGAAGCAUCUUCAAAUAUCACAUGUGUGCGAACAACAUGCUCGUCGAGGCCCAUGCAAGUGUAUUCUCUUACAUGUAUUCUUGCAUAAUGUAUUUGUGUUGUAAUUAUAUGUAUGCGGUGCCAUAGGUGUAUGCACAUAUUCAUGUGUAUGCAUGUAUGAACGCGUCAGCACUCUUUCGACACAUGAGGGGGUAUUUUAAAAUGCUUGUCACUGAUCAGCUGUGCGAAGGAUUGUCAUUUGAGUGCAUGCAUCAUCUUGCUUAGAAACUUGUAAACGCUUUCUGUUUGCUUGUAUGAGUGUUGUAGAUCCGGUGACAUUUUUUAGCAACACGUUGGAUCUCAUUUGAUCUGCUGCUUGCUAUUAUUUUCUUCAAUAUCUAACCUGCAUGAGUAUAUUUCUGUGCACCAUUGGUCGUUGUUGCUUCCUGCAGACGAGUUGUCCUGCACUGACGAAACCUUCUGCAGUUACUCAUAGAUGCUUGCACUUAUCACAGGCCGCUAUGCUCGUUUGUAGAUAGCAGUUUAUGCAUAUGAUGGAUCUUCUACGACAGUUCGUAGUGUUUGCAUUUGUCACAAAUUGAUCGCCUUUACUUGCACGGGAUCAAUAUAUUUGCUUGACGUUGAAUGGUGCUUGAUUGCAAGGUCGUAGCAUCCAUUGCUUGUCGUUGAUUAUCACUGUUGUGUCUACGACGCGUCUUCUAUCCUUGUCAGGAAGUGCUCACAUUCAUUGCAGCUCUUCCUGCGUUUACUUGCAAAUAAUGCAUUGCAUGCAUUCCUGUGUUUAUUAGCAGAUAAUGUACUCCAUGUAUUAAGGGCAGUGGCAUGUAGUUGUUUGUACGUGUUGCAGGUGCAUCAUCCUUGUAUGUAGAUGAUAAGUUUUGUGUUCACAUUCACAAAGGAUCCCAUCGUCCUUGCAACAUAUCUACUACUGUUGUUGCUACUCAUUAACAAAUCAAUGCACUUUCCUUGUCAGUUAAUCACUGUUGAUUGCAAGUUAGUUGAUAUUGACCAGAAGGAUGUCAUGGCAUUCACUCCAUGUUUCUCAAGUACAUUUGUAGAGUGACUGUCAGUGUUAUCGUUUAUAAGUGCAUGUGUGUAUUUGUCUGCAAGCUAAUGCUGACUAUGGGGUGGGAUUCAUUCACUUGAAAAUUUCCACCUUCGUCUAUAUUGAUUGUAGGAAUGUUGUAGCAUUCAAUGUGUGUUGCUUGUAUAUAUUUGCAGGAGACAUACUAUUUGCAAGUACAUUUAUGUGUUCAUUGCAUAUUGAUCUUAUAUUCUUAGGGGAAUGACAUAUUCAUUUUCCUAUUGAUUAGCAUUGGCUCUAGGAAUUUCCUUACAUUCAUUUCCUACCGCUGGUCGUCACUCGUAGGUAUUCUAUUGUGUAUGUAACAAUUCUUCCGUUUUCACCAGUAGGUAUUUGCAUUCAUCGUGUGCUAUAUUGUAUAAUCGAGGCAUACGCCAAACCAAAAGAUGCAGUCGAAUAGGAAUAGUGUACGCAGUAGACACGAGCACCAAACAUCGUCGAAGAAGGCGAAGCAGACAAACGAACAAGCGGGCAAAGUCCAACAUGAACGAAGAAGGUGAAGAAGUUGUUGUGGUGCAGUAGAUAAAAUCGAACAACAAAGAAGUCGAACAAGAACAUAUAAACGCCACUCGAUUAUGUUUAGUUUUAAUACUUUAAUUUAGUAUUAUUUUGAGGUGAAUGCCUCACAUUAUUGAGACGAAGCAUGCCUCAUUACGUGUCUCAGUGUAAUCGAGGCGUACGCCUCACCAAAAGAUCGUGGUGUGUUUACAUCAAAGCGCCACACGAAGGAAUUGCGUAGAGGCGCACCGUGCGCCUUUGAUUGCGCAAUUUUAAACAAUGAUGCUAAUUAUGCAGUAUCACUAGUGGAUAGAAAAUUCAUAAUUGGAUACUGUAUAUUUUUGCAGUAAGAAACAAUAUGUUUAUUCAAGAUCUAGUGCUGAAUUUGAAUUUAGAGUCAUUGCCCAAGGAAUUUUCGAGCUUCUAUAGAUUAAAAUUAUUUUCAAAGAUUUAAAAAUCAAAUUAUAAGGGCCAAUAAAGAUAUAUUAUGAUACCAUCAGCUUGUUCAUAAUCCAGCACAACAUGAUCAUACCAAGCGUGUGGUGCAAUAUAGAUAUUUUUAUAAACUAGAAAUUGAAUAGUAAGUUGAUACACACCUCAUAUGUGCCAACAAAAAAAAUUGCAGACAUUCUCAUCAAAUGACUCUACGAUUUCAUAUUGAAAAAUAUUGUAUGCAAGCUUAGAAUGAUAGAUUUAUAUCAUUCAAUUUGUUGAGGAGUAUUGAAGGAUCGUGGGACUUACAAGUCAAUCAAUCUUGAUAGAAUUCCUAGAGUACAUGGAUUAAAGAUUCUAACUAUUAGAUUGAUCCUCUUAUGGCCUUAGAAUGUAAUAUAUGUGCCUCCUUUCUAUUCUAGUCUUAGGCUCUUCUCGGUGAUUUUCUUAAAAUAGCUUUGAUUUAUUUCUAUUGCAAGUCUUUUGUAGAAGUCUAUGACUACUUCCACAGUUGCACGCUUUGUACAUAAUCAAGUAAUAAAAUUCAAAGUAAUUUUUUUCUUCUUUUCUUUUUUUCUUCAUGGAUUUCUUAGGAUAAAAUUCUAAAGAUGGAGAAUGUAUUAUUCUGUGAAUGCAUGGAUCUGCAAACCAUAAGCUUUGACAUUUACAACCUCUUUGGAAUUCCCUAGCCAAGAAAAAGAAUGUGAACAACAUUGUGAAAAAGAUGGUAUAUCAUGUCUCUUUAUACGGUAUAUUUUUUUAAAGCUGAUUUGAAGCCAGCAUGAAAUUGCACAGCUUUUGAUUCAGUUUGUAUUUGACCCAAGUUGAACCACAUUAUAAGCGUGCGACUUCAGAUGUUUGCUAAAUUCUUGUAUAAAAUGUAGUGUAACAAAGUUUGCUCCUUAUCAUUAAUUACUACCUUUAUACUCAAAUAUCUAGCAAUUGAGUUAAAUUCAUUAAAAUAUAAUUUAAUGGAUAUAUAUAUAU